rnacentral:rRNA from 1 species
CCUACGGGGGGCAGCAGUGGGGAAUAUUGCACAAUGGGGGAAACCCUGAUGCAGCGACGCCGCGUGAGUGAAGAAGUAUCUCGGUACGUAAAGCCCUAUCAGCAGGGAAGAAAAUGACGGUACCUGACUCAGAAGCCCCGGCUAACUACGUGCCAGCAGCCGCGGUAAUACGGAGGGGGCAAGCGUUAUCCGGAUUUACUGGGUGUAAAGGGAGCGUAGACGGUGCGCCAAGUCUGGAGUGAAAUGCCGCAGCUUAACUGCGGAACUGCUUUGGAAACUGGCGAACUAGAGUGCGGGAGGGGUAAGCGGAAUUCCUAGUGUAGGAGUGAAAUCCGUAGAUAUUAGAAGGAACACCGAUAGCGUAGGCAGGUUACUGGGACGGUUCUGACACUAAGGCACGAAAGCGUAGGGAGCAAACGGGAUUAGAUACCCCAGUAGUC